CCCGUCGAAGAUUCAGAAUUAAUCUCAAAUAUCCUUGCCGAAUUGGGUGCUGAUUAUGACCCCCUUGUCACCUCUGUCACAACAAGGCAAGAUUCUCUCUCUCUUAUUGAUCUUUAUGGCUACAUGUUAUCAUAUGAAC